rnacentral:rRNA from 1 species
UACAGAGGUCUCAAGCGUUGUUCGGAUUCAUUGGGCGUAAAGGGUGCGUAGGCGGCGGGGCAAGUCUGAUGUGAAAUCCCGGGGCUCAACCUCGGAACUGCACUGGAUACUGCUCUGCUAGAGAUCUGGAGAGGAGACUGGAAUUUACGGUGUAGCAGUGAAAUGCGUAGAUAUCGUAAGGAAGGCCAGUGGCGAAGGCGAGUCUCUGGACAGAUUCUGACGCUGAGGCGCGAAGGCCAGGGGAGCAAACGGG